ACACUUGCCCGUAGAGAUGCUG
rnacentral:miRNA from 1 species